GGCUGCCUGCCUUCAGUCCCUGGCCACGGGGCUUCUCCAGCCGGCGCAUCCUCUCAGCGAGCAGCCAUGGAAGGUGAGGGACUCCUCCCUCCUAGCUAGCUGCCUCUCCCCUCCCGGCCACAUGCAUGGAAGGUGACUGACUUGUAAGUAUGUGUGUAUGUGUUGGUCCUUUGUGCUGCUGCUGCUGCUGCCUGGAUGAUGAUGCUAAUGUGUGCUCACAGUGCUCGCUCGACUUGCCUGUAUGUUCUCCACCACCAUACUUUUGCAGAGCCUGACUGACCUCCGCUUCCAGAGCCAUGCGGUGCUGGCCCUUCAGGAGGCUGCAGAGGCCUACCUAGUGGGUCUCUUCGAGGACACCAACAUGUGCGCCAUCCAUGCCAAGCGCAUGACCAUCAUGCCCAAGGACAUUCAGCUGGCUAGGAGGAUCCGUGGCAAGAGGGCUUAAGGUGCUUGCUUUGCCUGUGGGAAUGGCUCUGGCAGGCAUCUAUGUCUGCUUUUGCUGCUGAACACUUAUCAUGUGUCGUGAACUACUAAUACUAGUCGUGUGUAGUAAUAUGUCAGUGUCGUACUCUGUGCCAUACUAUGUUCGUAGAGCUGGAUCAUUUGUUCAUUGGUCAUCUGAAAUCAUCCACCUGGUU